GUAGGUAUAGCUCAGUUGGUUAGAGCAUCGGUUUGUGGUACCGAGGGUCGCCGGUUCGAACCCGGUUACUUACCCCA
rnacentral:tRNA from 2 species